ensembl:lncRNA
UUUUUUUUGUUGCUCUGGUUAAUAACUUGAUUGGUGGAAUUAUUUUUUAAAAAAGAAGACAAAUUCAAACCGUCUGGGUGAUAAAAAACAACUAUUCAACAGUUUAUGGUAUCCUGACUAGAAUUGUAGUGUGUAGUGUGUGUGUGUGUGUGUGUAGUGUGUCUGUGUGUGUGUGUAGUGUGUCUGUGUGUGUACUGUAUGUGUGUGUGUGUGUGUGUGUGUGUGUGUGUGUGUGUAGUGUGUGUGUACUGUAUGUGUGUAGUGUGUGUGUAGUGUGUGUGUGUAGUGUGUGUAUGUGUUGUGUGUGUAGUGUGUGUGUGUGUCGUGUGUAGUGUGUGUGUAGUGUAUGUGUGUAGCGUGUGUAGUGUGUGUGUAGCGUGUGUAGUGUGUGUGUAGCGUGUGUAGUGUGUGUGUGUAGUGUGUGUAGUGUGUGUGUAGCGUGUGUAGUGUCCAGACACUCUUCAUAUUAGCAUCAUUAGUGGUUCAGCUGCUUCAGGACUUGAAAUGUUGAAGAUCUUGGACCUUCUUCUGAGGCAUAGAAGACUUCCACAUCAUCCCCUGAAACAAAGUCAACGUCCCCAUAAGGCCCUGUUUAAAAAGGUAGUGCACUACACAGGCAAUAGGGUGCCAUUCGGGACAGAACCAAACACUUUCUUUCAGAAGUCAUUGGUGCUUCCUGCACCUCAUCUGAGACUGUAAAGACUUUAAAGUUAAUACAACAUUUACAUUUCUUUCUUUUUUUUUUAAACGGACAAAUUAAUGAAAUCUCAACUUCCUGCCAAAUAAAAGUAAACUUGUCCAUCCUCUCAAAUACAUAGAGACACAUGAAAUGAAUAUUAGGAGACCUGAUGUACAGAAACCAGUGUUAAAAAUGAUUCAAACAGCUCCUAACUAGAGCCUCAUAACUAUGUUCCAAAUGGCACCUAUUCUCUAUACACUACACUGCUUUGGACCAGAACCCAUCUGGACCGGGACCCAUCUGGACCGGGACCCAUCUGGACCGGGACCCAUCUGGACCGGAGCCCAUCUGGACCGGAGCCCAUCUGGACCGGAGCCCAUCUGGACCGGGACCCAUCUGGACCAGGACCCAUCUGGACCGGGACCCAUCUGGACCAGACCCAUCUGGACCGGGACCCAUCUGGAGCCCAUCUGGACCCAUCUGGACCAGAGCCCAUCUGGACCCAUCUGGACCAGAGCCCAUCUGGACCCAUCUGGACCAGAGCCCAUCUGGACCCAUCUGGACCAGAGCCCAUCUGGACCCAUCUGGACCAGAGCCCAUCUGGACCCAUCUGAACCAGAGCCCAUCUGGACCCAUCUGAACCAGAGCCCAUCUGGACCCAUCUGGACCAGAGCCCAUCUGGACCCAUCUGGACCAGAGCCCAUCUGGACCCAUCUGGACCAGAGCCCAUCUGGACCCAUCUGGACCAGAGC